CCCAUGGGACCUCCAAUGGGAGCGGUGAUGGACACCCCAAGGCGCUGCCCUGGGCCACGCUGAUCCGGACCCCCCCCAAGCCCAAUCCCCGCCAUGGAGACCUCAGCCCGAACCCCAUGGCCAACGGCACCGUGGGGCCCCGGGACCAGCUCAGCACCCUACAGAGGUUCGCCGCGGGCUCCGCGGCCGCGCUGCUGUUGUCGCUGCUGCCGCUGGGGGCGCUGUUGCUGCUGCGCUGCCCCCUGGCGGCCGGGGCCUGGCGCUGGCUGCGGCCGCUGCUGCUGGGGGGGGCGGCGGGGGCGCUGAGCGGGGACGGGGUCCUGCACAUCCUGCCC